rnacentral:rRNA from 1 species
UACGAAGGGUGCUAGCGUUGCUCGGAAUCACUGGGCGUAAAGCGCACGUAGGCGGAUUGCUAAGUCAGGGGUGAAAUCCUGGAGCUCAACUCCAGAACUGCCUUUGAUACUGGCGAUCUCGAGUCCGGGAGAGGUGAGUGGAACUGCGAGUGUAGAGGUGAAAUUCGUAGAUAUUCGCAAGAACACCUAUGGCGAAGGCAGCUCUCUGGGACGGUACUGACGCUGAGACGCGAAAGCGUGGGGAGCGAACAGG